AGAAAUUGCAGCCGUAUUUGUAUGGACAGCCCUUUUCCUUGCUUACGGAUCACAACCCGUUAGUAUGGCUGAACCGGGUGGCUGGGGACAAUGCCAGGCUGCUGCGUUGGAGUUUGGCGCUGCAGCCCUUUGGCUUUAACAUUCAGUACCACCCGAGCAAACAGAAUGGAAACGCUGACAGGUUGUCAAGACAAAUAGACCUGGAGAAAUGAUCCGUGAGCAUCCGCGGGCAUCCCCAAGCCGAUCCAUGUUGGAUCAGACUGUGUAUGCCGGCUUGUGGGCAAGGGGGAGCAGUGUAGCGGAUGGUACUAUGGCUGUCCUUACAGACUAUGAUGCUACUGCAAUUCGUGUGAUAUUUCUUAUGUUUAGUUACAUCGUACUUAGGAUUCGU